rnacentral:rRNA from 1 species
UUCGCAAUGCCCGAAAGGGUGACGAAGCGACGCCGCGUGGGUGAGGAAGGCCUUCGGGUUGUAAAGCCCUGUCAGGAGUUAAGAAAUGUAAGUGCGCUAAUAUCGCAUCUACUUGACGAAGGCUCCAAAGGAAGCCACGGCUAACUCUGUGCCAGCAGCCGCGGUAAUACGGAGGUGGCAAGCGUUGUUCGGAAUUAUUGGGCGUAAAGAGCACGUAGGUGGGUUUGUAAGUCAGAUGUGAAAGCCUUCUGUUCAACGGAAGAAUUGCAUCUGAAACUGCAAAUCUUGAGUAUAGGAGGGGAGAAUGGAACUUCUGGUGGAGCGGUGAAAUGCGUAGAUAUCAGAAGGAACGCCGGCGGCGAAAGCGAUUCUCUGGUCUAUUACUGACACUCAGUGUGCGAAAGCUAGGGGAGCAAACGGGAUUAGAUACCCCGGUAGUCCCAGCUGUAAACGAUGGGCACUAAGUAGAGGGGUUUU